AUGUACAAGAACAUUCUAUUGGUGGUGCGGAAGUUGGAUAUGUACCCCGUAACCGCCUCAAUGAGCGAAUCAGCAACUGGUGUCCAGUCAGAUGUUGUGCUGACUCAGCCAGAGGCAGUGAGCGGGUUUCCUGGAGGUUCCCUGAGACUGACAUGUAAAACCAAUGGAUUCAAUCUUGGCAGUCAAUGGAUGGCCUGGUUCCGGCAGGUCCCUGGAGAAGGCUUGGUUUGGAUGUUUUACUACCGUGAUUCGUCCGGGAGCCAUCAUGCCCCAGGGGUUGAAAUCCGAUUUACUGCCUCAAAAGACACUUCAAGCAACAUUUUUGCUUUGGACCUGAAGAACCUGACAACCGAAGACACCGCCAUAUAUUACUGUGCAAUGAUGUCACAUGGAAAUAAAGCGCAACAACCUAAAGUGAAACUGUUUGGGGACUGGUUCAGUCACACGCUCUAUACCUGCCAGGUCACUCAUAAAGAGGCCACUCAAAGCCGAAACAUCACCAGACCUGAGGUUUCUGAAUGCACCGAUCCGGUGAUUACUCUACAGCCACCGCCAAUAGAACAGGUCUUACUGGAGGUGACAGUGACCUUAACCUGCACCGUGAGUAACGCCCCUUAUGGAGUCCUCGUAUCCUGGGCCCAAGAAAAGAAGCCUUUGAAAUCAGAGAUUGCUGUCCAGCCAGGAGAGGUUCCUAAUGGCGUGGUCAGCCACCUGAACAUCUCAACACAAGCCUGGCUGAGUGGGGCUGAGUUCUACUGCGUGGUGAGCCAUCAGGAUAUGCCGACUCCUUUAAGAAAGUCCAUCCACAAGGAGGAAGCUAAAUAUCCGCUGGAACCGUCCAUCUCUGUCCUCCUGCCCCUGGCUGAAGAUGUCUCCCCUCAGAGAUUCAUCUCCCUCAGCUGCUUAGUGAGAGGUUUCUCCCCCCGAGAGAUCUUCGUCAAGUGGACCGUCAAUGACAAGCCGGUGAAUCCAGGGAACUACAGGAACACCGAGGUGAUGGCGGAGAACGGCAAUAACUCCUUCUUCAUGUACAGCCUGUUAUCCAUUGCAGCGGAGGAGUGGGCCAGCGGCGAUUCUUACUCCUGUGUGGUGGGACAUGAAGCGAUUCCCUUGAAGAUUAUCAACAGAAUGGUUGAUAAAUCCAGUGAUUCCACAGACCGCAUCUGGAUUGAAGACAAUGAGGACGAUAAUGGGAACAUCUGGACAACCGCUUCCACAUUCAUCGUCCUGUUCGUCCUGAGCAUUUUCUACAGCACUGCCGUCACUCUGGUGAAG